rnacentral:lncRNA from 1 species
CUCUUGGCCAAGUCUUGAGGUCCUCGUUCAGUUUAGUCUUUGUUUUUAUUUCCAUAGUCAGUGCGUGAGAAAGUACUGAACAAAUUUCAGCACGGAUGCUGGGAGUGGAUAAUUUAUUUGCUGUGAAGAUGUGAUAAUCCCCACACCAUAAAAAAGAGUCCCUCCCAUUGUUCCUCUCAUGAUUUAUAUGGAAGCUCAAAGGGCAAUCACUACACCAUCCUAGGAAGUUCAAGAUAUUCUGGGGGCUAAUGUUCAUUGUGAAACUUUCACCGUGGAUUUGCAAAAGGGCUUGACCUCGCUUGACUUCUUGGACCACAGCAAUUUCAUCAUCUGUCUGUAGACAAGUCAUUGUCAGCACUGUCAAAGGGCCUGAUCUCAUGUCACUGAAGUCGGUGAGAGAGUUUUGCCAUUAACUUCAAAUGGGAG